rnacentral:lncRNA from 1 species
UUUCCUUCCCACUGGGGCGUGCCCCGAACUGAAGCCAAUGACAACAGCCGGGUGGAGGCGGACGAUCGGGAGGACUUCCACCGACUAAAAGAUAUGUCGGUCCCGAAGCAGAGGGAGCUUAUUACCGAACAAGCUCUCUAUGACGCCGGCUUGAGCUUGGUCCCCCGACUAGGUAUCGCCCGAUCCCCCGGUCUCCUUUUCAUUCGGCCCUU